CGCAGGCGCGCUGGUACGUGCUGCCGUCGCCUUGGGUCGGGAAGUUCCUUAGGAGGUUGGCCGUUCGUGGCGUCCUCGUUAUCCGGUGCCAUCGAGGGUCGUAAUCGGUGCCCGCUCUUUGCUGAAACCGCGUGGCGGGUCUCCUUACGCUCCUCGCCACGCUUCUGGAAGAUGUCACCCCCAGCUCCCCCCACCAGAAACUGGCCCCCGCUUUUCCUCCACCACUGUUUCAUGAGGAACGUCUUUACCGAAUCGUCUGUGUCUUAAUCUGUACGUCCGAAGUCUUCUCCUGGUUGUAAGGUACAGGAGAAUGUGGAAGAAAAAGGCUGUUUCUGCGUGAUGGGAUGAUACAGGUUUUUCUGUGUAAGUUUAGGAAGUGCUACUCUACAUCACAGGGAAUGAAGUGAAGGCCAGUUCCUACUGUCUGAGCAACUGGAUAAGGCAGCCUCUCCCAAGACUCCUGCCUGCUAUCUGAGUUUUAUCUGGGCCCACAGGCUCCUGGAAGUGUUAGGGGGAGUGUGCCUGCAGUAGAGCAUUAAUAAGUCUUUUUAAGCGCGCGGGUGAGGACCCACAGUCAGGCACCCCGUUUUGUAUCGGGGUUGCUCUACAACAGAAGGAAACCCAAGUAGGCCUGAUUAAACACCAUGAUUUCUCCUCCCUUCAACGUCUGGCGGGGGCUUCUGCUUUAUACUGGUACUGCUUUGUGCGUCAGCCAUGUGAACUGCAAGCCUCCAGCGUGCUUGGGUCUGGGGUGACCCUGUGCAUUCCUACAGUGCUUGCAAGAAUAAGUUGAAGUGGUUUGAGGCCUUGCCCUGUUUCUAUCCAGAGCAAGGUUAUAGAAAUUUCAAACAAUCGUUUGCUCCCUUUUGUGAUGUGGUAAGGUGGGCAUUGUGUAGCUCUGUACUCUGCUGAUAUGGUAAUUACUUGCCACAUAUGGUAAAACUUAAGUAAAUUUUUUUGAAAGAUUUUUUUUAUCUAUACAUACAAGAGCUGAGGUGUAGGCUAGAGGUGCAGGAGGCGAGAUGAUUCACCAGACUGAGUGGGGAGCAGCUGGCAAGACAGGAGUGGUCUGCGGUGCCAUGUGGGUCAGCUCCCUGACUGGGAACGGAACUCGUGCAGCAGAUAGCUUGAUAGCACUGUGUCUUUAACCCCUGCACCACCAGGGCGGCCCUGAGUAAAUUUUAAAAUUCAGUUAUUUCUGGUGGUCAGCCACAUUUGGAAGUUGAUUUGAAUUUAGCAUGUUUGCUUUGUUCCCAGCUAGUUGCAUUUUUAAUUUUACCAUGUUCUUAAAACAAAAGUCUUUUUUUUUUUUUUCCCCAAAGAUUUAUUUAUUUAUACAAGUACUGGGUACAGUCAGAAGCGCGGGAGGUUGAGAGAAUUCACCAGAGCAGGGAGCAGAGCAGGCAGAAGUACACUGCUGAGGGGAGCAGCGGGCAGCAGGAGAGAUCCACGCGCCAUGUGGGACCCUCCUCUGGUGGCCGGGGAGCAGCAGGGGAUCAAACCGGCGCUGAAGAGGCUGCGGGCAGCUUCGCAACCCAGCGCUCAACCGCUGCGCCACCGGGGAGGUCCUUAAAACAAAAGUCUUAACAAAUGUUGGUGAUGAAGCUCAGAGGGAGCAGUAAAAGUGGAGUUAGAGCAAGAGCAGGGAGUAAUAUGUGUUAAGGAAUAACAGGGAUGAACCCAGACCUGAAAGACUGACAUAUUUACGUGUCAGUAAAGCAAACAAAUGCUAAGUUCUGCGAUAGAUUGAAUGCCCAGGAACUGACAGAGGGUGAGGUUAGUGUGUCUGAUCUUAAAGGAAGAUCUCUUGGGAGAAAGGGAUGUAUUGUUGGUUGAACUGUUAUUUUGUAACAAAUGUCCUAAGUUUUCCCUGAGUUGAAAUUUUUGAGGAUACUGAGGUGGUCUUAUUAUCAAUAAAGAUGAGAAAUCCAAGGUCAGAAUUAUGUGUUUAGGUUUACCCAACCAGGAGCUGACCGCUCAGGAUUGGACACCUGGUCUCUCAAACCCUAAAGUUUCUGUUCCUUUCCAGGAUGCCAGACUGGAAAGGAGUGGAGUGCCCUCGUGUCCUUGCUCUGGUGUGCAUCAGAGAUAGGCAGGAUGGAAAGCGCCAUCAUGGCAGGGGCAGCACAGUUGUGUACCACUCGGUCCCUGGGUCAUACCACAUCUCCCUUGAAGGUGGAGGAUGCCGGUAGAUCAGAUCUGUCUUAAGUCCAGAUGCAGACUACAUACCGGCCUCCAGGAGCUGCUGUUGGGAGAUGCUUCUCUGUGAAUCGCGUGCACCUCCGUUCAUGACAGCCACCUUCUCCAGGCAGGCUCGGCUGUGCCCCUGCCAGAGUACACAACAUGUAGCCUGCCCUCCCUCAGUGGUUCAGCAACAAAAACCCCAGGAUGCUAAAGCUAGAGGAAAUGUGAGAGCUGAGCUUUUCCAUGGCUAUCCGGAUACUCCAUGCGGUUUGUGCAGUGGUUUUGGCACCAGAUUGUCUGCUUCCAGAACAAGGAUCCUCUGCAUCAGAAUCCCAGUCCACUGUGAUAUCUUUGAGUGAUAAACAAGAAAUAUUUAAUAAAGCAUUUUCAGUGUGUGAUGCAGUCCUGCCUCAGUUCUUUCUAUAUGCUGGAUAACAAAUGUGAGGAAGAUUUGCCUUUGAAGGAGUUUCGGCCAAAUCUGAGGAAUCCCUGGAGUCUGUUCUCAUUGCUCAGCCUUUGUAAACUGUAGAGUGGGUGGGUGAUGGAGGCACGGAGAUACCAGCUCAGUAGCCAUAUGGAGUUCUUGGAAUGGUUUGCCUUGCCUUGCUUCUUUGUCUUUUCACCACUGUGGGUCAGACUGUGAGACUCAAUCCCCAGAUAGCUAGCAAAACCAAAGGGUUUGGUGGAGCUUUUGCCCUGCAUCUAUACUCUGACAUUAGAUAAAAAUUUUAAAUACAUAUCCUAAGUGAAUACAUCUGUGUGGGAAGAUAUGGAGAAACUGAGACGGGAUGAGGGAUGUUGAGACGACUGGAAGUCUGCUGCAAAUUUCAGCUCUCCCAGUAAGAGGCUUGGGGUGGGAUUUUGGAGUUGAUCUUGGAUAAGAUAGCAAUGAAACAAAUUGUUGCCCCAAUUCCCAUUGGCCCCUCCUUGCUAUCCUAACCUGCCUAUGCACCUGUUUCACUAUGGUCACUGCCCCAACUUGUCAAACCCAGCCAAAGGUGUGUCCUGAGGAAGAUGAAAAUAAGGCCACUACUUGUCUUCCCUGAGACAACAUGGAGUCUGGUGACAUCUGACCAGACCAAGAUGGGGAAGAACUUCCCUGAUUAUUGACAAAGUGGGUGGCAAGUCCCUCGUGCAAGCUGUCAGGGUGGGGAAAGCACAAUCAUGAUUGUAGACUCAAGGUGACAGGGCAGCUCCACCCACACAGCCAAAUCCCCUAAGAAUGGUCAUCACAGAAAACCCAAAGAAUGCUACUUUGAGACUUCCCAAAUUUUGUUACGUUCAGGUUCCUGUGUUUCUGAAGAUCUACAGGAACAACUAAGUUCUUUUCAAGUGUUGAUGUAAUAGAAACAGGAUGGAUGAUACCUGGAGGUUAGGGAAGUGAAACCUUUGUUGAGGGGUGGGGAAAGUUUGAUAAGAACUCCCCUAAUUUCUGAGGUUUGGUUCAGAAAGCCCUACAAAUCACCAGCCCAAGAGGCUGGGAGGGGUUGUCCACAGGGCUUAGCAUAAAAUGACCAGGUUUGCCCCAGAGGAACCCCAGGGUGGCCCCUAAGCCUCAUUGUAGUGGGAGACUUUUUCAGGCCCAUCAUUGCAAUGCACAGUUCUAUCAAGCACUUGAUGUAAGUACUUUGCAAUAUUAUUAGGUGUGUAUUUUAGGGAGGAAAGUGCAUGUUAGUUAUCUCAGAGUUUAAAGAGUUGAUUGAAAGACUAUUAUUAAAUUAGUGUUUUGAGUGUUAGAGUACAGACUCCCAAAGGUGGCAUUCAGUUGGGAAAUACAGGCUUCCAUGUGGUCAUGAAAGUUGUGUGGGCACAAACUUGACCAGUCAGAAUGGGGACCAGACCAAGAUGGGGAAGAACCCUGAUAUGAUGUCAUCUCAUCCUCUUACCCUCUGAGACAGUGGGUGGCAAGUCCCUUGUGCAAGCUGUCAGGGUGGGGAAAGCACAAUCAUGAGUGUAGUCUACACCUCUGGUGAGUGAGGACUCAAGUGGGACAGGAGGGUUCCCAGUGCUUUUCCUGUUCCUUAAUGCUGAAGGGAUGGAUGGGUGGACCUGGAGGACAUGUGGGAACCUUCCAGAAACAUCCAUGAGUCCUGGAGGACACUACUGGGAAUGGAGGCGGGACAAAUCCAGACCACAGCCUGUGCCAGGUCAGAUGAGCAGUUGGUUUUGUCAUUUACAUCCCAGCAUGGUCUUUGU